AGAGUAUGAUCCUGGCUCAGGAUGAACGCUGGCGGCGUGCUUAACACAUGCAAGUCGAACGAACCUUCGGGUUAGUGGCGGACGGGUGAGUAACGCGUGAGAAUCUGCCCUCAGGAGGGGGACAACAGCUGGAAACGGCUGCUAAUACCCCAUAUGCCGCGAGGUGAAAUGAAUUUCGCCUGAGGAUGAGCUCGCGUCUGAUUAGCUAGUUGGUGUAGGUAAUGGCUCACCAAGGCAUCGAUCAGCAGCUGGUCUGAGAGGAUGAUCAGCCACACUGGGACUGAGACACGGCCCAGACUCCUACGGGAGGCAGCAGUGGGGAAUUUUCCGCAAUGGGCGAAAGCCUGACGGAGCAACGCCGCGUGAGGGAUGAAGGCCUCUGGGCUGUAAACCUCUUUUAUCAAGGAAGAAGAUCUGACGGUACUUGAUGAAUAAGCCACGGCUAAUUCCGUGCCAGCAGCCGCGGUAAUACGGGAGUGGCAAGCGUUAUCCGGAAUUAUUGGGCGUAAAGCGUCCGCAGGCGGCCCUUCAAGUCUGCUGUUAAAAAGUGGAGCUUAACUCCAUCAUGGCAGUGGAAACUGUUGGGCUUGAGUGUGGUAG
rnacentral:rRNA from 1 species